rnacentral:misc_RNA from 1 species
AGUCGUAACAAGGUAACCGUAGGUGAACCUGCGGUUGGAUCAUUAAAUAAUGAUUGAUGGGUCAGGAAUCCUUCAAGCCUUGGUUUGUCAAGGACUGACUCAUCACUAACCCCUGUGCAACUGUCUAGUAUUUUGGGUACUGCAGUCAUACUGCAAUACCCGAGCUUAUAAUAACACCAAUUGAAACUUGUCUUGUUUAAUUUAUUAAUAAUAAUGUAAAAACAACUUUUGACAACGGAUCUCUUGGCUCUC